UACGGAGGGUGCAAACGUUGCUCGGAAUCAUUGGGCGUAAAGCGCACGUAGGCGGACCGCUAAGUCGGAUGUGAAAGCCCUCGGCUUAACCGAGGAAGUGCAUUCGAAACUGACAGUCUUGAGUAUGGAAGAGGGUCGCGGAAUUCCCGGUGUAGAGGUGAAAUUCGUAGAUAUCGGGAGGAACACCGGUGGCGAAGGCGGAUCUCUGGGCCUUACCUGACGCUGAGGCGCGAAAGCUAGGGGAGCGAACAGG
rnacentral:rRNA from 1 species